rnacentral:rRNA from 1 species
GACGAACGCUGGCGGCGUGCUUAACACAUGCAAGUCGAACGGUAAGGCCCUUCGGGGUACACGAGUGGCGAACGGGCGAGUAACACGUGGGUGAUCUGCCCUGCACUUCUGGCGAAGCUUCGGAAACUGGGUCUAAUACCGGAUAGGUCCCCUGCGUGCAUCGGUGGGGGUGGCAUGCUUUUGCGGUGUGGGAUGGGCCCGCGGCCUAUCAGCUUGUUGGUGGGGUGAUGGCCUACCAAGGCGACGACGGGUAGCCGGCCUGAGAGGGGGACCGGCCACACUGCGACUGAGAUACGGCCCAGACUCCUACGGGAGGCAGCAGUGGGGAAUAUUGCACAAUGGGCGCAAGCCUGAUGCAGCGACGCCGCGUGAGGGAUGACGGCCUUCGGGUUGUAAACCUCUUUCAGCACCGACGAAGCGCAAGUGACGGUAGGUGCAGAAGAAGGACCGGCCAACUACGUGCCAGCCGCCGCAGUAA